rnacentral:lncRNA from 1 species
AUGAAAAAAAUGAAGAUACAAGCUCGCACUCUUUCAGGACAAUAUUAGUUGUUUAGACCAAAAUUUGCCGAUCCGAUCCUACUGGAAGCUCACUGGAGCGUCUUGAUGGCUGCAAGGCGAUAUGCAGCAGAACAAGUGCAUGCCCCUGCCACCUUCCAAUGCGGCGGUUGAUAAUAAGCAUGAAGGAGAUUUUCGCAUCUCUGGAUAUGUGAGGUGAACAUUAUAGGAUGCCAAAGGUUCGAAUCCAUCAAGCGUCGGCCAUUGCAGAGAAAGAUAGUUGUGGCAUUGUGAAGUUAAAUAACCCGGCCAACGGACACGAGGUGAAUACUGAUGAUGCCAAAAUUUCAACCACAUCGGCUGAUGAACGCGUCACAGCUGAAUCUCAUGAGAGACUAAGUCCUAUGAGAUUACUUCGGAACCCAAAACGAUAUACAUCAUAGAGAACUUUGUGUUUCAUUACCUUUAACACAUUAUAGUUGUUAUUUAGCAUACAUGAUUGUUAAUUGACAUUAUCAGGUCAGCCUAUUUAUGUUCUU